GGCUUGGUGGUCUAGUAGUAUGAUUCCUUGUUGGGGUGGAACGUUGUUACAGUAUCGAGGAGGUCCUGGGUUCAAUUUCCAGUCAAGCCU